CUGGGGGGAGGAGAAGGACAUCAGUAAUGCACCCAUCCAUCCCACCUCACUCAUGGUGCCAGCCCUCAGGAAAAAAGAGAUUUAUUUCCUCACACUGUUCUGAUUCCGCCUCAUUGAAGUGAGUUGUUUCCGAUUUGUGCUGGGAUAAUAAAAGAGAAUAAGAUUAUUGCAGAGGAACACAGAGAUUCUACAGAUUCUUGCUUUGCUGAGAAAGAAGUUUGAAACCUUCUUUAUCUAUUGUUGUAGGAGAAAGUGGGCCAGCAAUGCUGCUUCCUAUUUGGUCACCAAGACAAUCCAAGUGCUACGUUUCUGACCCAUUUCAUUUUUCAGUCACCAUAUUUACAGUAUAAGACACGGGGUACCGGUGGGGAAAAUCUGCAGGAAAAGCCAGCGAGCCAUUCAUCUUGUCGGUAUCUCCACGAAGCAGAACCCGAUCCCCGGUUCCAGGUGGCCCAACCGAAUGCAGAACCAAUGACGAACCUCGGCGAAUGUGCUUCAGCAGUGCCAUGUCCCCUCCCACGAACACGAGGCGGGAGUGGGUUAAUCGGGAAACACAUCUCACAAGCUCAAUAAUGUGUGAAAACUGAGACUUAAAUCUGCACUCUAUUUGGUUUUGCUCCUCACUAUUCAGAGAGCAGAAAAUCAUAAUUUAUAGUGCCAAUUGUCAGUAUUUAUAAUCAAAUCCUUGCUUAAAACACCGGAAAGAUGAUAAAAAAAAAUAAAUGGCAGAUGGUGUCAUUCUG